AGAAAUGAACAAUACAAAACCCCUCUUUGCUGCUCUUAUCAAAGGGCUUAUGUCCCCUAUCAGCAAAGACCUGAACGUGAAUAUUGUCAAUGCUGAACUGGUUGCUCGAGAACGAGGAAUAAUAGUC
rnacentral:snoRNA from 1 species